rnacentral:rRNA from 1 species
AAGUUGACGGGGCCCGCACAAGCGGUGGAGCAUGUGGUUUAAUUCGAUGCAACGCGAAGAACCUUACCUGGGCUUGACAUCCCGGGAAUCCCUUGGAAACAAGGGAGUGCCUUCGGGAACCUGGAGACAGGUGCUGCAUGGCUGUCAUCAGCUCGUGUCGUGAGAUGUAGGGUUAAGUCCCGCAACGAGCGCAACCCUUGUCUUUAAUUGCCAUCAUUGAGUUGGGCACUUUAAAGAGACUGCCGGUGUUAAACCGGAGGAAGGUGGGGAUGACGUCAAGUCCUCAUGGCCUUUAUGCCCAGGGCUACACACGUGCUACAAUGGCAGGUACAGAGGGCUGCGAAGCCGCGAGGUGGAGCGAAUCCCAGAAAACCUGUCUCAGUCCGGAUUGAAGUCUGCAACUCGACUUCAUGAAGGCGGAAUCGCUAGUAACCGCGAAUCAGCAGGUCGCGGUGAAUACGUUCCCGGGCCUU